GAGGGCGUUAAUUUAUGACUCCUCGGGAAGCUUCCGGGAAACCAAAGUUUUUGGGUUCCGGGGGAAGUAUGGUUGCAAAGCUGAAACUUAAAGGAAUUGACGGAAGGGCACCACCAGGAGUGGAGCCUGCGGCUUAAUUUGACUCAACACGGGAAAACUCACCCGGCCCGGACACCGUAAGGAUUGACAAAUUGAGAGCUCUUUCUUGAUUCGGUGGGUGGUGGUGCAUGGCCGUUCUUAGUUGGUGGAGCGAUUUGUCUGGUUAAUUCCAAUAACAAACGAAACUCUAGCCUGCUAAAUAGGCAGUGGAUUCUUAGUCCACUGUACUUCUUAGAGGGACAAGCAGCGUCUAGCUGCACAAGAUUGAGCAAUAACAGGUCUGUGAUGCCCUUAAAUGUUCGGGGCUGCACGCGCGCUACACUGAAGGAAUCAACAUGCUUCUCAACCUUGCCCGGAAGGGCUAGGUAACCCGUUGAAACUCCUUCGUGAUUGGGAUAGGGAAUUGCAAUUAUUUCCCUUGAACAAGGAAUUCCCAGUAAGUGCGGGUCAUCAGCUCGCGCUGAUUACGUCCCUG
rnacentral:rRNA from 1 species